rnacentral:rRNA from 1 species
CAGGCUUAACACAUGCAAGUCGAGGGGUAUAGUUCUUCGGAAUUAGAGACCGGCGCACGGGUGCGUAACGCGUAUGCAAUCUACCUUUUACAGAGGGAUAGCCCAGAGAAAUUUGGAUUAAUACCUCAUAGUAUUACGAAAUGGCAUCAUUUUGUAAUUAAAGUCACAACGGUAAAAGAUGAGCAUGCGUCCCAUUAGCUAGUUGGUAAGGUAACGGCUUACCAAGGCUACGAUGGGUAGGGGUCCUGAGAGGGAGAUCCCCCACACUGGUACUGAGACACGGACCAGACUCCUACGGGAGGCAGCAGUGAGGAAUAUUGGACAAUGGGCGCAAGCCUGAUCCAGCCAUGCCGCGUGCAGGAUGACGGUCCUAUGGAUUGUAAACUGCUUUUAUACGAGAAGAAACACUACUUCGUGAAGUAGCUUGACGGUAUCGUAAGAAUAAGGAUCGGCUAACUCCGUGCCAGCAGCCGCGGUAAUACGGAGGAUCCAAGCGUUAUCCGGAAUCAUUGGGUUUAAAGGGUCCGUAGGCGGUUUAAUAAGUCAGUGGUGAAAGCCCAUCGCUCAACGGUGGAACGGCCAUUGAUACUGUUAAACUUGAAUUAUUAGGAAGUAACUAGAAUAUGUAGUGUAGCGGUGAAAUGCUUAGAGAUUACAUGGAAUACCAAUUGCGAAGGCAGGUUACUACUAAUGGAUUGACGCUGAUGGACGAAAGCGUGGGUAGCGAACAGGAUUAGAUACCCUGGUAGUCCACGCCGUAAACGA